rnacentral:ribozyme from 1 species
AACAAGAAGAAGAAGACGAAGAAGGAGGAGAAGAAGAAGAAGAACGAGCCUUGCUUCAAGGCUAAAAGGUCCUUGGCAGUGGACUUCUUUCUCUGGAUCUUCUCCUUCUUCUUCUUCUUCUUGUUGUUGUUGUUCUUCUUCUU